GAUGAACGCUGGCGGCGUGCCUAAUACAUGCAAGUCGAGCGAACAGACGAGGAGCUUGCUCCUCUGACGUUAGCGGCGGACGGGUCAGUAACACGUGGAUAACCUACCUAUAAGACUGGGAUAACUUCGGGAAACCGGAGCUAAUACCGGAUAAUAUAUUGAACCGCAUGGUUCAAUAGUGAAAGACGGUUUUGCUGUCACUUAUAGAUGGAUCCGCGCCGCAUUAGCUAGUUGGUAAGGUAACGGCUUACCAAGGCGACGAUGCGUAGCCGACCUGAGAGGGUGAUCGGCCACACUGGAACUGAGACACGGUCCAGACUCCUACGGGAGGCAGCAGUAGGGAAUCUUCCGCAAUGGGCGAAAGCCUGACGGAGCAACGCCGCGUGAGUGAUGAAGGUCUUCGGAUCGUAAAACUCUGUUAUUAGGGAAGAACAAAUGUGUAAGUAACUAUGCACGUCUUGACGGUACCUAAUCAGAAAGCCACGGCUAACUACGUG
rnacentral:rRNA from 1 species